rnacentral:rRNA from 1 species
AUUGAACGCUGGCGGCAGGCCUAACACAUGCAAGUCGAACGGUAACAGAAAGCAGCUUGCUGCUUUGCUGACGAGUGGCGGACGGGUGAGUAAUGUCUGGGAAACUGCCUGAUGGAGGGGGAUAACUACUGGAAACGGUAGCUAAUACCGCAUAACGUCGCAAGACCAAAGAGGGGGACCUUCGGGCCUCUUGCCAUCGGAUGUGCCCAGAUGGGAUUAGCUAGUAGGUGGGGUAAAGGCUCACCUAGGCGACGAUCCCUAGCUGGUCUGAGAGGAUGACCAGCCACACUGGAACUGAGACACGGUCCAGACUCCUACGGGAGGCAGCAGUGGGGAAUAUUGCACAAUGGGCGCAAGCCUGAUGCAGCCAUGCCGCGUGUGUGAAGAAGGCCUUCGGGUUGUAAAGUACUUUCAGCGGGGAGGAAGGGAGUAAAGUUAAUACCUUUGCUCAUUGACGUUACCCGCAGAAGAAGCACCGGCUAACUCCGU